UACGAACGCUGGCGGCGUGCCUAAUACAUGCAAGUCGAGCGAGCUUGCCUAGAUGAUUUUAGUGCUUGCACUAAAUGAAACUAGAUACAAGCGAGCGGCGGACGGGUGAGUAACACGUGGGUAACCUGCCCAAGAGACUGGGAUAACACCUGGAAACAGAUGCUAAUACCGGAUAAGCCCACGACCCGGCAUCGGGUUGAGGGAAAAGGAGUGAUCCGCUUUGAGAUGGCCUCGCGUCCGAUUAGCUAGUUGGUGAGGUAACGGCCCACCAAGGCGACGAUCGGUAGCCGGACUGAGAGGUUGAACGGCCACAUUGGGACUGAGACACGGCCCAG
rnacentral:rRNA from 1 species